rnacentral:rRNA from 1 species
UGGGGAAUCUUGCGCAAUGGGCGAAAGCCUGACGCAGCGACGCCGCGUGAGUGAUGAAGGCCUUCGGGUUGUAAAGCUCUGUGGGGAGAGAAGAAUAAGUGCGGGCUAAUACCCCGCAUGAUGACGGUAUCUCCUUAGCAAGCACCGGCUAACUCUGUGCCAGCAGCCGCGGUAAGACAGAGGGUGCAAACGUUGUUCGGAAUUACUGGGCGUAAAGCGAGUGUAGGCGGUUUGGUAAGUCGGAUGUGAAAGCCCCGGGCUCAACCCGGGAAGUGCAUUCGAUACUGCCAAGCUAGGGUAUCGGAGAGGUUGGUGGAAUUCUCGGUGUAGAGGUGAAAUUCGUAGAUAUCGAGAGGAACACCGGUGGCGAAGGCGGCCAACUGGACGAAUACUGACGCUGAGACUCGAAAGCGUGGGGAGCAAACAGGAUUAGAUACCCAAGUAGUCCCUGAGCGGGCUGGCAAGGCGCAU